rnacentral:rRNA from 1 species
AUUGAACGCUAGCGGGAUGCCUUACACAUGCAAGUCGAACGAGUGGCGGACGGGUGAGUAAUGUAUGGGGAUCUGCCCGAUAGAGGGGGAUAACUACUGGAAACGGUGGCUAAUACCGCAUACUAUCGGAUGAACCCAUAUGGGAUUAGCUAGUAGGUGGGGUAAAGGCUCACCUAGGCGACGAUCUCUAGCUGGUCUGAGAGGAUGAUCAGCCACACUGGGACUGAGACACGGCCCAGACUCCUACGGGAGGCAGCAGUGGGGAAUAUUGCACAAUGGGCGCAAGCCUGAUGCAGCCAUGCCGCGUGUAUGAAGAAGGCCUUAGGGUUGUAAAGUACUUUCAGCGGGGAGGCGUUACCCGAAGAAAAAGCAACGGCUAACUCCGUGCCAGCCGCCGCGGUAAUAC